ensembl:lncRNA
AAGGGUCUGGGUCUUAUGAAUUCCCAGCACUGAAAAGAGUUAACAUAACUUUCCUCCCAUGUUCAUAUUUGGCACCCCGUGCAACGCUUGGACUGACAGUUUUUUAAAAGAAGAAAGAAAGAAAGAGAGAGAGUGAAGGAGAGAGGGAGGGACAAAGAAAGAGAGAGAGAGAAGGAAGGAGGGGAAAGAAGAAAGAAGCGAGCUUCAAUUAGUAACUAAAGCUGAGCUCAUUAAGCACCAGCUCUGUUUGAGACCCAGCCAGUGAUGCCUGCAUGCAAAAUGGACGGAAUACCCACAAGAUAAUGCUAGAGACUUCUGCAGCUGGAAUAGCUUGUGUGCUCAACAGCUCCAGCUUUGUAAGCGCCUGAGGCCUCCAUCAGCUGCUUGGGAUGAGCUUCUAGAUGGCCACGAGAUUUCUCAUCCAUUCAACAGAGAUUUAAUGAGUCCGCACCUUGUGUGCUGGGCUUCAGGGAUACGGGUGAAUGAAGAUGCCAGCCCUUUCCCUCAAGUAGCUCACUGCCUAGUGGUGGGAUGUCAGCACAUGGAAAAGCCCUUCCUAGAGGUUCUCUGCCAUGCUGAGCACAGUCAGACGAGGACACAGAGUCCUAGCGUGAAUGUGAACCAGCAGAGAUGGCAGGCGCCGGGAUUCUCACUGAGUCUGGGUCGCCUCCUGUUGCCACCGUGCUUCCUCCUCAAGGACAGCAUAACGCAUUCAAAAUUAAGACGGUCUCAGUCACCUGUAAGUCAUUUUAAGGUCGGAGGCUGAAUCAUCGGCUCGUGAAUGGGAAGUGGGGCACCCCGUUUCUCUCUGACACCCCACUGGGUUCAGGAGACUGGCACAGCGAGAAAGUCACUACCCACAGCACAGGAGCCAUUGGAAUCCUGAUGGAAAGCUGUUAUCCUUGAACUGCUCAUUAAUAAUUCUUCAACACUCCCAUCAGCUUCUAAACUAACAUCUGGAGAACUUCCUUUAUAAAAGGCAAACUUCACAAAAAGAGUUCAGCCUCGUCUACAAACAGCCCCCGCUGUCUGGACCUGGCUGACUUGUCUGUAUGGCUUCGGCUUGUCCUGGAUGCGGCUCACCCUCUGCUGGGAAUUAUUCGGGGAGGUGACACUGUCAAACAGGGGACCACUUGGGAGCUGGAGGAGAGGGCCACAGUCUUCCUCGGGAGGAGCAGUGACUGAAUUACCCGGAGGGCUCCUUCUUUCGAGGACUGGAAGAGGGCGGGUGAGGCGGGUGACAAUGGCUACGUGUCUUCACGGCAGGGGGGCCCGCUGGCAGAGCACCACUAGAGAGGACAGCUUGCAAACCUUUCCCAGAUGGGUCCUCAGAACUGCAAACUUGAGGGUGGCGCACCCUCACCACCUGGGAACAGCAUGUGUCCAGGACUGCCAAGACUCAGAAAGACGAUAUGGGUGAGCGCACGGGAACCGGGAAGAAAUCGACCUGGCAGAGCAAGGCUGGUUAAGGAAAUCGAGUCCACAGUGAAGUUCAUCUCAAUAAACAAUCCCCCACUGGGAGGCUGAACCCGCUUCCCAAACAGAGCUGCUGUUUCCUACUGUUGCGUAAUUACAGAGGUCACCCAGCUGUUGGGAGAGACCACACAUUGUGUUUCCGGUUGUGUAAAUACAAACGAGCCGGCAGCAGCCAGCAGAGCUCCUGAGGGCAAGAAUGGGAGGCUGAGGGAGAGGUGUGCUCCAGGAGAGGACCGGCCGGAGCCCACCCGUCAGUGUGAAACAAGCGAGGCGGUUUCGGUUUCUGUCCUGUCUCUCUCCCCUCACUUGCAGCUUUGGAAAAUUUGGAUCUGUUGUGAAAGGGUAACACUUUUUCCAUGUCUGAUACUGGCAGCGUCAGAUGGGGAGCAGCAGGAUCCUCAACCUUCUUCCAGAAGGUUCAGGAAGCCCACGGGGCUGCACACAUACCAAGCCAUCCUCUGAAACCCUUCUUCCUGGUGGUAUUUCCCCUGGAUGUGUUUGAGCUCUCUCUGAGGCGGCCCUGGAAGCUCUGCCGAUAAUUAGAAGCUGGUGAAGCAGCCUCGGGCCUCGUCCUGGGCUCCUGCCAAGUCCACAGAGGGUUGAGAAACUGAAGGGGGAACCUCCCCUUUCUCACUCUUGGGCAAGAGGAGUGUCCGAUGUGAACAACUGUGGACGCUGAAAGCUGUUUGACCUUGGCAGAGUCACUGAACUCUUGGAGGAGACGCAUAGGACACGCCGUGGCUUGGUUCCCCAGGUCCCCUGCCAUCAGCACAGCCCUUGGAAGAAGACUUCCGUCUCUGCAUCUACAAUGUGGGGUCACAAUGAAAGGCUCUUCUUGGGGUGGUUGUGAGCGUUAGAGGAGCUGAUGCAUGCCAGUACCUGUCCAAGAUGCUAAUAAUAAUUAGCAAUAAUUCCUCUGGGAUUCAGUCUUGUCAGCAUGUAGGGUGGGUCAGAGUUCAGUGAGAGAGACCUCCUAUCAAGCCUGGUAGAUAAAGAACAUAUAAAUAAUGGUACUUUCUGAUUAUUUCUCACCACUGAGUGGUUUGCUUCUAUUGAAAAAAGAGUUGUGAAGUGCCCCUUGUAGGGUCUGGCAUGUGGAAAGUGCUUAAUAAAUAUUCAUUCACCCCUGCCUUUAAUAGAAAGGAGGCUAAGUAACUUAUUUUAGUUUAUAGAGAAAAUUCGUUGAAAAACAUCCAAUGAAGCAAUUCCAAAUUUCUGAAUGUUACAAGUUUUAGCAACAUUAUAAAUUGAGCUUUUUUUUCUCUUUCACUUACUGAUUUUCUGACUAUAGUCAAUUUACCAUUUUCAAAUAAGGGGCAUGAAAAACUCUAUGAGCAUGUAAAUUUGUGACUUCUGGUUUUUCUGCAGACUUGAGCAAUGGAGCAAAAUACUCAACUUGACCUGGUGAAUGCUAACCUCCUGCAGAUAUGCUGUUUGGAUUGAAUAAAUUCUUGCAUGAUAACAGCACAGACUGACAAAUUAGUAAAUAGAAUGUAAUGUAAAUGAGGAGCCUAAUGAUUUAGGGUUGACAUUCUUACACUGGUCGUUUGAACAUGCUUGGGUCCUUAGACCUGCUCACCUCUCAGGUGGCUGUUUCUUGACCAAU